rnacentral:tRNA from 1 species
GCUGUAGUGGCCGAGUGGUUAAGGCGUUGGACUUGAAAUCCAAUGGGUGAUACCCGCACAGGUUCAAAUCGUGUCCACAGCG